GAUGAACGCUGGCGGCGUGCCUAAUACAUGCAAGUCGAGCGAACAGACGAGGAGCUUGCUCCUUCGACGUUAGCGGCGGACGGGUGAGUAACACGUAGGUAACCUACCUAUAAGACUGGGAUAACUUCGGGAAACCGGAGCUAAUACCGGAUAAUAUUUCGAACCGCAUGGUUCGAUAGUGAAAGAUGGCUUUGCUAUCACUUAUAGAUGGACCUGCGCCGUAUUAGCUAGUUGGUAAGGUAACGGCUUACCAAGGCAACGAUACGUAGCCGACCUGAGAGGGUGAUCGGCCACCCUGGAACUGAGACACGGUCCAGACUCCUACGGGAGGCAGCAGGAGGGAAUCUUCCGCAAUGGGCGAAAGCCUGACGGAGCAACGCCGCGUGAGUGAUGAAGGUCUUCGGAUCGUAAAACUCUGUUAUUAGGGAAAAACAAACGUGUAAGUAACUGUGCACGUCUUGACGGUACCUAAUCAGAAAGCCACGGCUAACUACGUG
rnacentral:rRNA from 1 species